AGAGCGAACGCUGGCGGCAGGCUUAACACAUGCAAGUCGAGCGCCCCGCAAGGGGAGCGGCAGACGGGAGAGUAACACGUGGGAACGUACCUUUCGGUUCGGAACAACCCAGGGAAACUUGGGCUAAUACCGGAUACGCCCGUAAGGGGAAAGAUUUAUCGCCGGAAGAUCGGCCCGCGUCUGAUUAGCUAGUUGGUGAGGUAACGGCUCACCAAGGCGACGAUCAGUAGCUGGUCUGAGAGGAUGAUCAGCCUCACUGGGACUGAGACACGGCCCCAGACUCCUACGGGAGGCAGCAGUGGGGAAUAUUGGACAAUGGGCGCAAGCCUGAUCCAGCCAUGCCGCGUGGGUGAUGAAGGCCCUAGGGUUGUAAAGCCCUUUCGGCGGGGAAGAUAAUGACGGUACCCGCAGAAGAAGCCCGGCUAACUUCGCGCCAGCAGCCGC
rnacentral:rRNA from 1 species